UCGAUGCCUGCGACUGUCUUCAUAGUUGAUAGUAUUUCAAUACUAUCACCUAUGAAGACAGUCGCAGGCAUCGA